GUAGCGUAAUCAGUUGGCUUUUAAAUGGAGUCAGGAAUGAAUGGGAUAACCAGGCUUAGCUGUCUCUUUUUUAAUAAAUUGAAUUUACUUUGUAAGUGAAAAAGCUUACUAAUAGAAGGGGGAGGAGAAGACCCUUAGAAUUUUACUUAAAUGUUUAAGCAUACUGGUUUUGUUGGGGUGACAAAGAAAUAUAUUAUAACUUUCUUUAAAAUACUUGCCGACUAUAGUAAGUAAGAAUAAAUUACCUGAGGGAUAACAGCAUAAUUCUAUAAUUGAGUUUGUGACCUCGAUGUUGGACUAGGAAACUAACAAGCUAGCCGUUUGUUUUGUGGGUUCUGUUCGAACUUAAUUCCU
rnacentral:rRNA from 1 species